rnacentral:rRNA from 1 species
UACGUAUGGUGCGAACGUUGUUCGGAAUCACUGGGCAUAAAGAGCACGUAGGCGGUUGAGCAAGUCUACUGUGAAAUCCCCCGGCUUAACCGGGGAACUGCGGUAGAUACUACUUGACUUGAGUUCAGGAGGGGAAAGUGGAAUUCCAGGUGGAGCGGUGAAAUGCGUAGAUAUCUGGAGGAACGCCGGUGGCGAAAGCGACUUUCUGGCCUGCAACUGACGCUGAGGUGCGAAAGCUAGGGGAGCAAACGGG